AGCUUUGUGCAAUGGCAGUAAUGUAGCCAAUGAAAUUUAUCCUAGGCAUGAUUAUUGUUAAUGGAAAACUUUUCCCAAUAU
ensembl:snRNA U4 U4 spliceosomal RNA